AUACGGAGGGUGCAAGCGUUAAUCGGAAUUACUGGGCGUAAAGCGCUCGUAGGCGGCUUGUUAAGUCGGAUGUGAAAGCCCCGGGCUCAACCUGGGAACUGCAUUCGAUACUGGCGAGCUAGAGUAUAGUAGAGGCAAGUGGAAUUCCGGGUGUAGCGGUGAAAUGCGUAGAUAUCCGGAGGAACAUCAGUGGCGAAGGCGACUUGCUGGACUAAUACUGACGCUGAGGAGCGAAAGCGUGGGGAGCAAACGGGAUUAGAAACCCCAGUAGUCC
rnacentral:rRNA from 1 species